CUUGAGGGUUAUGAGCUCGGGGAAGAGACAGUUAAAGCUUCCUCGCACCAGCAAGAUGAGUUGUACCACAGCGCUCAUGCCAAGGUCAGCAGUCUGAGUGGAGCUGAGACACUUAAUGCCCGUUCCAAGCAGUGCCAAGCACCUCUGGAAGCCCCUGCCUAGGACCCCAAAUUUAGAUUCAUGCUGCAGUCUGGAGAGUGUUCUGACGGCUGCCGGGCUACAGGGAAAAGCACACUGCACACUGCCUCUGAAACGAGACAGAGCUCUCCAGGCUGGGAGUCUGAGGAAGCCGGACCUGAGCAGCGCUAGUCAGGGGAAAGAGAAGCCCAGUUCACCAUUGGCCAUCAGGGUCCAGGAGCAUCACUUCCUUUAUCCAGCACCCUAUCUCUGUGACAUGUGAAGAAACCAGUCCAUUUUCCAAUGGCAAAACCGAGCUCACAUACACCAUAUUCUUCAAUGUCUGUCCUUCUACCAGUUGGAUCUGUUUUCUUUUGUAGUUCUGGGCACUUUUCAAGACUCUGUUGACUAAAUCUUAAAGGAGUGUUGAUAAUGCAAUUCAUAAACUGGCUUUCUGAGCUAUUAUGAUGCCUUUUCCUCUCUUUGUGACCAAGAACAUCUACUCUCUUGCCUUUGAAGAUCCAUGAGGUUUUAAAAUCAUGAGACCCAAGGCAGAAGUGUCCAGGCAACUGGGAGCCAAGUCUAGCUGCUGCACUUGAAAGCCAGGACUUGACUGGAGAGAACGCAGUAGAGGUAAAGAUUCUGUGAGUGCGUUUGGACCAUGAGAAUAAUGUGUCUUCGUACAAGACAAUGGGUGGCUGAUUUUUGAUGCCUCCUGGGUUACUGUUUGGUGAACUCUGAAAUACCCACUCUGCUCACACACAGGGUCACAGAAGACAUGGGUAUAUUGAGCACACUGGUACUAGGGUCAACAGUGAGCUGACGCUAUGUGCAGAUGAACCUCUCUGUUUCUACUGGAGCCAUCAUUCAAUGGACAGAAAGGAUUUGGGUGUUGGACUCAUCUCUGAUACAUCCUGUCUGCAGGGAUAGAAAGUAUUCCUGGGGAACAUCGAAGCUGAAGAAACUACAGCUUUUCUUUCGAGUCUGGAUUAUUCUGAACCACAUGGAAUUACAAUCAAGUCCGGGAUGAGUGGCUCAAAGCCUGGCUAUGACCGAGGGAACGGAAGACAAAUUGGGAUCAUAUUUUAUUCAACCAAGAGAAAUGGAAUCCAGCAGAGUAAAUUUCAUGUUCUCUGGAAAUAUGUCCUGUUAAUGUUAUUAUUGAGAAGAAGCACAGACAACACAGUCUUCCAGGCAAGGAAGAGAAGGAGAUGUGACCUUGGCUUUGUGAGCUGUGGCAGGGAGGGACCCAGAAUGAUAGUGAAGGUCUCUGGAAGCUUCCAAACAAACAAGUGUGGGUGUCUUUUGUCAGAUCCCUGAGAGUGGGUGGGGCAGAAGACUUGCUGUGUUUUCUGUGGAUAAAUACACAAAACGAUUUAUUACUGCAACACAAGCAGGCUACAAUACACUUCAUACAUUUCUUUGGUUUUAACAAUUGCAUUAGGAAUUUUGCCCUUGUCUGAAUCCUAAGAGGUGUGUUGUUGUGAUUUUUGUUUAUUGUUUGGGGGUUUGCUUUUUUUUUCCAAAUAGAGACAAAUACAGGAGAGAAGGUCAAUUGAUAAUGUGGCCAUUGCCUAGUUCACUAGUGCAUUGGGAAGAGGUGGCAAAUGAUCUCUAAGGAAUGGACAGGUGACAGGGGCACUCACUCAGGACCUUGAGGCCUCAGAGGCCAUCAGGGAGUGGCCCCCCUCCAGCCAUGGCUUACACUGCUUCAUUCAGUCAGUUGGCUCAGGCUUCCCUCCACCCAUUCUCAGCAGUCGGUUAUUAAGUGGGGAAUAGUAACAAAAGCACAUCUCAGCCAUCGGGCAUUCUGCAUUUGUGGGCGUGGAUGGAGGAAACCUCAGCACCACCAUUGUUAAGACGCCCAGCAGCUGGCAGCUCUGGCCAGCUGCACCGGCUUCACAGGGGCUUCUCCCAAGCUGCUGCUUUUUCCAGCCUCAUUCAAGGCCAAGUGGGACCAUGUGCAUGCUUUUUGUCCCAAAGGUUUGUCGGGAAGUGGGAGUCCAUCUAAAGGGCACACAGCCUACCAGGUUAGACUUCAAUUUGCAUUCAAAAUGACUUGUCUCAAGGUUAGUCUUUCUGUGGACCAGACUAGUUUUUUGUUCAUGUGGAUGUGUUGACGACCAAAAAUGCUCAUGUCUGUGUAUAUGCAUGUGCGUUUGUGAGUGAGUG
ensembl:lncRNA